AAUCUAUUAGGGACAGUGUAACCCCGUUCAAUGCUCCACCAAGCUUGGCUGAUCUGGCUGGCUGGGUGAGUGUCCCCUUCCUCCCUCCUGCUCCUGUUGCUCCUCCAAAGGCUGCACACUGGGCAGAAGAGGAGCCCAUCCUUCAGUCAAGGCUGUAUGAGCAGCUGUGCUCCCCUGCUAGAACUCCACACAAGCUCUCAAGCAUUAAUAAGCUGGCUCUAAAAGCAAAUAGAAAUGCAAAUGGCCUAGAAUACCCAAAACAAUUU
rnacentral:snRNA from 1 species